UGGCGGACGGGUGAGUAACACGUGGGUGACCUGCCCCGAAGUGCGGCAUAACAGGGGGAAACUCCUGCUAAUUCCGCAUGUGCUCCCACCUCUUGUGGUGUGAGUAAAGAUUUAUCGCUUCGGGAUGGGCCCGCGGUCCAUCAGCUAGUUGGUAGGGUAAUGGCCUACCAAGGCGACGACGGAUAGCCGGCCUGAGAGGGCGAUCGGCCACAGGGGCACUGAGAUACGGGCCCCACUCCUACGGGAGGCAGCAGUUAGGAAUCUUCCACAAUGGGCGAAAGCCUGAUGGAGCGACACAGCGUGAAGGAUGAAGGCCUUAGGGUUAUAAACUUCUAAAAGAGGGACGAUAAUGACGGUACCUCUUGAAAAGCACCGGCUAACUCCGUGCCAGCAGCCGCGGUAAU
rnacentral:rRNA from 1 species